rnacentral:ncRNA from 1 species
AAGGGUAGAGGCGCAUUGUUUAUUAGUAAUUAAUACGAGGGUGAUACCGAUGACUAUUAGUGAAAGGAGCCGAUGCCGAAGUGAGAACAAUAAAUCAAAUAUUCUUACUGGGGUUACAUUGAAUAAGUGUAACACUGCCAUAGUAGAUAAACACAUAACUAUGGAGUGCUACUGU